rnacentral:rRNA from 1 species
CCAAUAGCGUAUAUUAAAGUUGUUGCAGUUAAAAAGCUCGUAGUUGAAUUUCGGGACCACUAUGUCGGUCGUGCUUCGGUACGUACUGUCAUUAUUGGUUUCUCCCUUCUGACGAACCAUGAUGUCAUUUAUUUGGUGUCGUGGGGAAUCAGGACUGUUACUUUGAAAAAAUUAGAGUGUUUAAAGCAGGCUCACGCUUGAAUACAUUAGCAUGGAAUAAUGAAAUAGGACGUUUGAUUCUAUUUUGUUGGUUUCUAGGAUCGACGUAAUGAUUAAUAGGGAUAGUUGGGGGCAUUAGUAUUCAAUUGUCAGAGGUGAAAUUCUUGGAUUUAUUGAAGACUAACUACUGCGAAAGCAUUUGCCAAGGAUGUUUUCAUUAAUCAAGAACGAAAGUUAGGGGAUCGAAGACGAUCAGAUACCGUCGUAGUCUUAACCAUAAACUAUGCCGACUAGGGAUCGGAUGAUGUUAAUUUUUUAAUGACUCAUUCGGCGCCUUACG